UAAAUAGUUGCAUGAACAUUACGUUCAUCUUAGCAACUUCUUAGAGGGACUAACUACGUUUAGUAGUUGGAAGUUUGAGGCAAUAACAGGUCUGUGAUGCCCUUAGAUGUUCUGGGCUGCACGCGCGCUACACUGACAAAGUCAGCGAGUAUAGAACCUUGGCCGGAAGGUCUG
rnacentral:rRNA from 1 species